rnacentral:rRNA from 1 species
AACGAACGCUGGCGGCAUGCCUAACACAUGCCAGUCGAACGAGACCUUCGGGUCUAGUGGCGCACGGGUGCGUAACGCGUGGGAACCUGCCCUUAGGUUCGGAAUAACUCCCCGAAAUGGGUGCUAAUACCGGAUAAUGUCUUCGGACCAAAGAUUUAUCGCCUUUGGAUGGGCCCGCGUUUGAUUAGCUAGUUGGUAGGGUAAAAGCCUACCAAGGCGACGAUCCAUAGCUGGUCUGAGAGGAUGAUCAGCCACACUGGGACUGAGACACGGCCCAGACUCCUACGGGAGGCAGCAGUGGGGAAUACUGGACAAUGGGCGAAAGCCUGAUCCAGCAAUGCCGCGUGAGUGAUGAAGGCCUUAGGGUUGUAAAGCUCUUUUACCCGGGAUGAUAAUGACAGUACCGGGAGAAUAAGCUCCGGCUAACUCCGUG